UACGUGAGGAGGCGAGCGUUGUCCGGAUUCACUGGGCGUAAAGGGCGCGUAGGCGGCGGCUUGAGUCCCUGCGUGAAAUCUCCCGGCUCAACCGGGAGGGUGCGCGGGAUACUGGGCGGCUUGAGGGCAUCAGAGGAGAGCGGAAUCCCGGUGUAGUGGUGAAAUGCGUAGAUAUCGGGGGAACACCAGUGGCGAGGACGGCUGCUCUGGGGUGC
rnacentral:rRNA from 1 species